GACGAACGCUGGCGGCGUGCUUAACACAUGCAAGUCGAACGGGAAGGUCCUGUUUUUGUGGGGAGCCCAAGUGGCGAACGGAUGAGUAACAAGAGAGUAACCUCCCCUUGCAUUUGGGAUAACUUCAGGCAACUGGGGAUAAUAGCGGCUAGGAGCUCCUGCUGCAUGGCGGGGGUUGGAAAGAUUCGGCGGGUGGGGAUGGACUCGCGGCUUAUCAGCUUGUUGGUGUGGUAGCGGACCACCAAGGCGUUGAGGGGUAGCCGGCCUGAGAGGGUGUGCGGCCACAUUGGGACUGAGAGACGGCCCAGACUCCUACGGGAGGGAGCGGUGGGGAAUAUUGUACAAUGGGCGGGAGCCUGAGGCAGCGACGCCGCGUGCGGGAUGACGGCCUUCGUGUUUUAAACCGCUUUCGCCUGAGACGAGGAGUGAGUGACGGUAAUGGCUAAAGAAGCACCGGCUAACUACGUG
rnacentral:rRNA from 1 species